GGACUCAGUGUACUACAGGAGGACUCAGUGUACUACAGGAGGACUCGCUGUACUACAGGAGGACUCAGUGUACUACAGGAGGACUCAGUGUACUACAGGAGGACUCAGUGUACUACAGGAGGACUCGCUGUACUACAGGAGGACUCAUUGUACUACAGGAGGACUCAGUGUACUACAGGAGGACUCAGUGUACUACAGGAGGACUCGCUGUACUACAGGAGGACUCGCUGUACUACAGGAGGACUCAGUGUACUACAGGAGGACUCGCUGUACUACAGGAGGACUCAGUGUACUACAGGAGGACUCGCUGUACUACAGGAGGACUCAGUGUACUACAGGAGGACUCGCUGUACUACAGGAGGACCCAUUGUACUACAGGAGGACUCAGUGUACUACAGGAGGACUCGCUGUACUACAGGAGGACUCGCUGUACUACAGGA